rnacentral:lncRNA from 1 species
UGGAAACCUGUCUGCGUUGCAGUUUGAUUCUGCAGGGACAGCUGACCCAACUGUGAUUCGGGUUGAUUAGUCUGAGGUGGAAACCCUGUCUGAGACACUUGUUGGUUAGUUGGAACAGGAUAAUCAGCUUGUGGAUUGACAUGAGGUGAAGCUCCAGAGGGUAGAUGACUUGUCUGCAAAGGAGACUGGCCAGGUUGACCAGAUAAAGCUGUCAAUGAUGUAAGCUCGCUAUUUUGAGCAUGGAAACCUGUCUGUGGUGCAGUUUGGCUCUGGAUGGACAGUGGACCUGGAUGUGAUUCAUGUUGAUUAGUCUGAUGUGGAAACCCUGUCUGUGACACGGGUUGGUUAGCUGGAACAGGGUAAUCAAUUUGUGAAUGGUAAUGAUGCGAAGCUCCAGAGGGUGGGAGAAUAUCUGCUAAUAUAUCAAUAUCUUCGUCGUUAUUUGAUAGCUCCUGCUGCUGAAACUGUGGGAUUUCUGUAGAAGGAAGUUGGGCGCCAGAAGGACCAGAUGACGAGUAAGUUGCACCGUGAAAACUACCCCCAAAAUCAUUUUCUGCAUUUUUAAUAACUGGCUGAGGCAAAUCAUAACUUUGAUAGGGGUUCUGGGCAAAAGAAUGUGUAGAAGUAGGAAUCUGUUGUUGCGAUGGUACACUUUCCAUAGAAGGAAUAGCUUUAAAAGGGCCAUCCCCAAAUGGAUCAUCAAAUGACUGCAGAAAAAGCCACUUUUUUAUCUCCACAAAUGCAUUUAUUCUAUAACUGAAGACAUCUACAGCGUAAGGGCAAGAAGAAGAGGAAAAAGGCAGUCGCACGCCAUUUUAAAAUAUAUGAAACAAUUGCAACAUCAAAUAUUAUACAAGUCAAAAUCAAAACCAAAGAACAUAAAAGGAAAUGAUUUUAGCUACACAGAAGCAUCAAUUGUGGUGGGCAGAGACAUUUAGUUCUUUGGUUGUAUUGAUGCAAACUUUUCCUCCCGUCUAUUUCUAGAAUAUACUUUGCAGUUGCAACUUUUCUUGACAGGCAGUUGCUUAUUCUAAGACGAUUGCUUAUACAACACGGACAAACAAAAAGAAAUAUUAAUCAGAUUAAAUUUUUGACAUUAACACGACUGAACAGAUGAAAACCAAUAUUUUCCUUGCGUGCUACUAAAUUUAUCUGAUUUCGUCAAACUUUAAUUCUCAGUGCAACACAUUAUUUUGAAAAUUUCAGACAUUUUUCUUCAUUUGACUCCAAUAAAUCAAAAAACAGUUGGAGAAAUGGGUUGAUGGUAGAAAAGAGAUGAUUCUUUCUAUAAGAGGGUUGAAUUUACAAUAAUGACCUUCACCUUCUUUAGGAGGGUUAGGGACUCAAUCUCUCCAGAAAAAAGAAAAGAUCAUCAUCUACUGAUAUGAACAAGAGCAGGAAAGCGUACACAAAUUUAAAUAUUAUUUCAAAAAUUAUUCAUAUAGUUUGUCUCCUUGGGCAUCACUACAAUCCUAACAAGAAUAAGCACUAGCACAAAUGAACUCUGUUUUUACCUUUCUUUUUCCCCAAAUUUCCCAAGUCAUAAUUAAAACAUUUCAUGAAGCAAGAGGUGCUUAAUAAGGUGUUCAACCAGACCUAGGCCCAAAAGGGUCCAGGCUAACUUGACUUGGACCUGAGUUAAAAAAUCCAUCCAAAGAAUGAAAUCAGGAAAUUCACUGAUAACUCUCAAAUUGAUUAAAUCAAUUAGAAGCCAAGUGAUACAACCCAAGAAACUCUUUAAAGGCUAUUGAGCAAAGGAACAAUAAAAGAUAAAAUUUAAAAUCAGAUCUAUGUAUGAAGUAACUAGAAAUUAUCAGACAAAGAUUACCUGAUUAAAGACUGUGAAUGGUGAUGAUGUGGGCAUAAAUGUGGGAAUAGAGCUGGAGUUCGGUGGGGCACUAGCCUCCUUGGCCGCCGUUCCCGGUGCAGCAGACACAAGAGCUAAUGAGUUUGAAGAAGAUGGCUCAGAAAAAGAGCCUAGUAAAUCCAUUUCCGCACCACCAGAAGUAGUUGGAAUGGUACCAUUUGAUAUGGCUGGGAUAGCCAUUCAAAGAGGCAAAAGAAUUAGUCCACUGAGACAAUCAUUUAUACCAAUAGGUAAAUGUCAUAAAUGAAGAAAAUCAUGAUCAUGCAACACUGGGUCAUACACAUGUCGAGUGUUCCAUAAUUCUUUCACCAUGUCUCCUAUUCAUUUAACCCCUUGCAUACACCAGAUAAUAUUGCUCAUAAAUAACUAGAGCAGGGUCGUGGAAUUUCAGCACAAAACCAAAAAUGCUGACUCGAGUCUAGUUAACAUAUUAAUGAUCAUGUACAUCCACGUGCAAAUUCUUGUCAGAUCCAAAACAACAAAAAACGUCCCUAUUCUCAUUAGCUUAGAUUUCAUAGUCAUACAACUUUCCCAUUAUGUCACAUAAACUUCCUUGAAAAGUACAGUCUGGUAUAAUUUACUUCAGUUAAUAGAGUAUCAAAUGCCUAUAAACCUCGUAGCAGCUUCCAGAGAAAAUGCAAUUCUUAAACUGGUAACCUAUUCAGUUCCUAUUUCACAUAUGCUAUGAAGCACAAGAGGAACACUCAUCUCCAGUAUGAAGAUUGAUGAUACAAAGUAGCUGAGAAAGAGCAAAAUAAGGUGUAUACAUAUAGAAACAGUCCACUGAAGCGAUCAAAAAAACCCCAGUAAAGCAAUAAAAAGUACAAGUGCAGUUUAAUUGCUACAAGUUCGAAAAGAAUCUCUGUAAAUGAUAAAACCAAUUUAAUGUAAUUUGUAAUGAGAAAGCAAGAUCAAACCGCAAACGACAAACGUUCAAGACAUGCCAACCAAUAUCGUACCAGUUACUUUUCUACUUUUCUAGUUAACCAGCAUGAAUGCGUUGCAGGGUAUGCAGAUUGUGAUAAAUGCCAAACUACAUGAAAUGCCUUUGGCCACAAUUUCAAUAACUGGAGUCUCUGUCAGCAGCACGAUAGUCUAGAAGCAAAAAAAAAAAUAUGCUAGGAAAAAGGGUUGCUUCCGUUGUUCAUGGAACAAGCCAAGACAUUUUGGCUUUCUUUACAUAACAAUCAUCAUAUGAAAAUAGAAACACCUUGGGUAUAUGAAAGGAUUUCAAAAAGAAAUAAUAAAGACUUUUGGAAACUCUUGGUUAAGCUAAAAUUAUAUAGUUCAAUUUGUCCGGCAGUAAGAUCAUAUAAGUACAUAUAUAAAAUUGCACACAAACCACAACCUUGUUGGAUAUUUCACCUUUUAUAUAACCUGUCACAAGAAACCUUGAUUUUAUUUUAAAUAACAAGACUCCAUUCUCUUUGAUAAAGUGAACUUGUUAUCAAAAAGAGAAGUCACUAACAAAAGAGACUUAAGGAGAGUAGUGUGGCAGUGAAAUAUCCAAGUGCAGAUAUUCCUUUACCUGAAAAUGAACCACGAGGAUCAAAUUCAUCAAAGCCAUCUACUUCCCCAUUAUUAUCAGGAGCUGGUGGUAAAGCAGGAGCCGAGUGUGAAGCAUCUGUUGUCUCGUGGCUUGGAUUAACACUUGCAGGAGGAGAGGAUGCUUUGGGAACAGCUGAGAGAUCUCCAUCCCUUUUGAAAAUACGAAGUUACGACCACUUCAGAAUAGUUGAAGCAGAAACUAGGUGGUUGAUAAAAGUUUGUUACCUUUCACUAAGAGUGGGACUGCGUGCAGUACCAGCAAUCUCUUCAUAACUAGGAGGAGCGCCAAGGCUUUGAUCAGAAUAUUUACGGUCCAAGUGCCUGCUGGCCAUACUACAACAACAGCAAAAACAAUUAAGCUUGUUUGCAAUAAACUAAACCUGCCAGCAAUAAUUGGCAAAAAAGCCACAAAUAAAAAAAAUAUUCCACUAAAUUAUGAAUAGCAUGAAAAAGGUUUUCCUAUCAUUACCUUCCAUCUUGAGAAUCGCCUUUGGCAUUACUACCUCUACAAUUGGCAAAGUUAAAAUUUUAAUUGAUGUAGGUAAUAGAAAAUUAAACUAACUGAAAACAUAUCACGUGUACCAACAUUGAGGAAAAUAAAUAAAGCAACUCCCUGACUAGAAAACACUAGAGAGACUACAAUGACAAUCCUAGAGUGAAGUCAAGCCAAAAUGGCACAAUUGUUCUUUUUUCAUAUUUUUAUCACUUCGUAUAAAUCCCAUUUAACGUUUAUCACGUCAUUAUAUAGCCUUUCGCCUUUACCAUUGAAAACAACAGAAAAAUUAUAUAUCUUUGCAAGAAAAUAAUAAAAUAUUUCACUACAAAGUUGGAUUUUACUUGAACGCGAGAAAACUUACAAACCUGGAAGAACUUUGUCUAUCAUCUUCAUAAGUAUGGUUCCCAUUCCUAUCAGUGCUUCUGGAUUGUAAAACAUUCUGAUAAUCACUGUUUUGACUUCUUCCACGGUGGUCAUCAUCCCUGUAGCCAUCUUGACCAUACCGCUCCUCGUUAUCUCUACUAUACCUGUCUCCAUCAAGGCCAUAUGAAUCACCAUACCUACCAUAUCUGUCAUCAUUCCUGCUGCCCCAUUCUCUUUCUCUUCCAUGGUCAUUUCGCCCAUCAUCUCUGCUUCCGUAACGAUCCUCAUCAUAUUUGUCACCAUAUCCUCCUGCAUUUGACUGAGAACCAGGCCGAUCACCAGUUGACGUGUUGCUAUACCUAUUAGAAUACUUGUACGCAGUCAAAAGAUGAUUUCAUACAUACUAUCUGGAUUUGUUUGGUUAUUUCAAGCAUGCCAAACUCGCAACAUGAGAUAGCCAAUAAAAGUUGAACAUGAGAAACCUUAUAUAUUUAGAAGGUGACCCUACCGCACAAUGAAAACAUUACAAAAUGAAACAGCUGUUCCCUUGGCCCAACCUUCCCAAACUAGAGAGAGAGAGGAGGAGAUAAUAGGACUUCGAAUUUCCAUAUUAUCAAGAUUUUUGGUUUCUCAUGAUCUUAAAUCCAUAGGCUUUACUGUUUUACAGAGACCACACUAUUCAAUUUUUAACAUUCUCCCCUCUACUUCCGAGAUAACAUAAGUUUCAAAUAUUAAGUUCUUAUGGCAAGUAUAACAAAUUGCUAAUUCCGACCUGGUCACAAGCUCAGAUAAAGAGACUUGAGGUAGGUUGACAGCCAGCAUAACUUUGUGAAAUUUUACAACAGGAAUCCUAAUAUAAAUUUUGUUUCGCCAACCCCAAAUUUACCAGGAACUAGGCUUAAUUUACUGGGUAAAAACUUCAGCAAAUUGAUUAUCUACUCCUACUUAAUCAUAUAUGCAAAAGUUCAAAGUAAGGCAACAAUUAGUUCUGCCUUCACUAUACAACCUCUUACUUGACAGGUAAAAAAAAAUUUUAAACUCAAGGGUAACAUUAGGGAUUAUUUAGUAAUCCAAUCCUUUCUUUUAUUCUUUACUUUUAGAACACUGCAAAUCAAUUAACUGAGCUGAAUAAUAGAAAAACCUAAAAAGAUAGCAAGAAUUCCAAUUACCAGUCCAAGGCAAUGCCAGAUAUUAUCGACAUUUAUCCCAAAAUAACCCACAAGAGGCAUCUCACAUAAAGGUUUCUUCCCCUUGGAGGAAGAUCUACAUAUAAGUCAUGAUAACAGGCUUAAAAUGCCACCAUCUACUAAAAUUACAAGCUAAAAUUACAGUUGGGCAACAAAAUGUACACAAGUGCAUAUUGAAUCUUAAUCAUCUUUCUGCCCUUCAUAAAAUUUCAAAAUUUUCAAAAAGAACAACAAAGAGAGGCACUAAUAGUAAUCAUCUGGCAUGGUAACAAUCAAAAGAAAAUAUGAAGUAAAACCUUUCAGCUUUUAAAUUGAAAUACAUAGACAAAAGAAAGUCACGUUUAACCUCAACUGAUUAAUAUAAUGAUCAACAAAAUGGAAAGUAAUAGGAUACAUAAGGUGCAACUAUGCCAUGACAAGGAUAAUCAGGAAACUUGAAGCAGACUUACUUGUCCCUGUUAGCAGCAGCCUUCUCGCGAACUUCUUGUAUUUGUUCCUUGUCAUUUACAAGGGCUAAAAGACUUUGAGAUUUCCUUCUGACAUUGCUUCCUUGAUCCCUCCCACUGGAAUCAACAUAUUGAAAAUCAAACAGUGCCUAUCAAAAGAAAAAUACAUUUUAAAUGAUAGCACAAUAAUCCUAAGAAAUUUAAUGCUCAUCCAGAGGUUCGCAGAAUAGCUUAUUAAAGAAGGUGCAUAUGAAAAAGAAACUCACCGAUAUUUGGUAAGUAUGUUCCCUGAUCUCAUCUAUGGCACGCUCUGAUCCAUGAGCUACCAAGUACUCCAAAACAGUCAAACCCUAGAAAAAAAAAAUUCAUUUGCAUAUUCAAGAGAACAGUAGAUGCCAGGAAAGAAGAACAUCUAAUACAUACAACAGGAUGAGGUAAGAAAGAGGUCGCCGUCAAAAAAAAUGGGCGUCGCAAAAACUAAUCCAAAAAUUAUAUCCCUAGGAAAAUAAUUCUUUACAGUAAUAUGUAAAAUAAAAAAAUAUGACUCUCUUCAAUUUGCAAAAGGAAGGGUCUGGAAAGGAUACUGGGGAAAAAUAGGAAAAUCCCAACGAUGUUAUAGUAAAAACUAAACAAGAAUUUCAAUAACAAAACACAUAGCUUCUCAGUAAAACAGAGUAACUAGGAAGAACAAAAAACCUUGUAGACAUGACGCCAAUUUUUUCCAGUAUCAUUGAUACGCUUCCAUAUAACCGCCAUAAGCAUCUGAUACUCGUGACUAUUGAAAUGAAAAAUAUGAAUACUUUAUGAUGAAAAUAAUGAUCAGAAAUUAUGAGGAAGAUGCAUUAAACUUACUAAUUUCUUGAUGCCUGAGCAAUAUCAGCAAGAUGAGAUCCAUGAGGUCCCCAGGGUUCAUUGCUGGUGGCAUCAAGGACCUGAAUAUAGAAACCGAAAUGUUAAAUGCUGGGAGAGAGUCAUGAAUGGAAAAGCUAUUUUGCAAAUUAAGAAACUGCAGGUGGCAACCUGAACGUUACAACUUCUUGUAAAUACCAAAUUAACCAAAAGACAUUGACGAAAUUUGUAAUAUACAAAAGGAAUUUAAAAAAUGAAAAAAAUUACCUUCCUUUCUAUAGGAGGGACUUUCAGAACUUUUUUAUUCACCUCUCUCUUACUGCAAGAGGAAGUAACACGCAUAAGACAAAGUUUCAGAAUUAGAUUGAUUUUUUUAUGACCAUAGAUUUUUGGGUCAUCUUACGCACAUCUCGACUUAUCUCACGAGACCCUGAAGUUUACAGUCGUAUACUCACAUCAAUGACCCUGAGGAGAUUCGAAUUGGUGACCAUUAAGGAGCAAACUCAAGAUUUGACCACUGACUACCCCUCAAAGUUGAAAGAAAUAAUAUUACGCGCAAACUCAAAACUUUUCCUUAUUUUUUAACCACACAUUUUUCAUUAAUACACUAUUCAAAAUUUCAUUAUUUUGACAUAAACGGGGCUCCAACAAGGGCUUAAAUUCUCUAUUCCACGCCUUUCAAUUGUCUUUAUUUUAUUGUUAUUAAAAGACAGGCAAAAAUAUUGAAAAGCAAAUGGAUCUCACCAAUUUUAAACUUGACCGUCUAUUAAUUAAUAAUCAAUAACACAUCAAUCAGAAAUCCGUCUAUUUAAUACAAUAGAUCGCUAUCCACACAAUACAUUAGAGAUGCUCUAUUACGAAAAACAGUUAUAAAUCAUCAACAAAUCUGAGUAACAUACCAUCUAUACCCAUGCCUAUGGACAACUGAAACUAUCGGCCUCCAAAAUAAAUUUUAAUUCACUGCGAAUAAAAGCGAAUGAAGAAAAAUGAAUAUCGUUUAUAUAAUUCGGCAAGAAGCUGUUCCAUGCCUCAACAAUGAAUAAACUGACAAAAAUCUAUAUAUGUAUGAGAAUACCAAUAGAGAGAACCUCAAAAUGGUAAUCCUCAAAGGUAUGUAUGCAUAUCACAUCAUCUAAAGAGCAAUGAGGCAACCACACAAUCCAAAUUAACCCCAUAGGCAAGCAACUCUCAAUAAAACAGAUGAAUAACUGCAGCCACUUGCUAAACGUGGCAAACAAGGAAAUCAAAAGUGACCCCAAAAGUUAUAGCCGAAAACUUGUAAAUGUAACUCUAUAAUACAACCGGAAAGCACAGGUCGUUCGACUUCUGGCGAUCAAAUGUUGUUCAAGCUCAACGGUAGCCACCACCAUAUGGUUGUUGGGCAUAAUUACCUGUUCCCAUCAUGGGAUUAUAACCUCCGGACAUUGUUGAUCCAGGAGGAAGUCCUGGCUGCUGUUGCAUGUUAUAUCCUUGACCCAUGUUCAUGUUCAUGUUCAUGUUCAUGCCCAUGCCCAAGUUUCCUGGCCUAUUCAUCCCCAUCCCAAUGGGCUGGUUCACUCCUGAAUAGCCUCCCAUGCCAAACCCUGAUCCAGGAUCACUGGUCAUAGUCAUGCCCAUGCCGGAACCCACCACUGCAUUUGGUAGAGACCUGAGAGCACCUGCACCAGCACGGCCAAUACCAGAACCAGAUCCCAUUGCUUUACCCAUGGUAAUGUUGGAUGUUACCGUAGAAGCAUUAGGUUUCUCCAUUCUCUUCUCCUUGCGAUUUAUGGCGUCAAAAUCAACUCCAAUGUCAGCCAAUGGAUUUGUUUUAGCUGCAAAUGAAAAAGAAGGUAUAUAAUAAGAGGUAAAGGAGAUAACAGGAUGCAAUGAAACAGUUACAAAAGCAAUAACUCACGUCCGGAAAUAUUUAAAUUGACCAGUCCGCGGCUUAGAGUAUCAGCCCAAACAGUAGAUUUUGUCUCAAACUUGUCUUUUGAUGGUUGAGGAACUAUGGUAGGAGAACCAGUUGAGGCCGGUGAAGCUGAUUGUGAAGCAAUGGGACUGAUUGGCCUCACUUGUGGAGCUUGAAAACCCAUUUGUGAAGCCACUGGAGCAUUAUAACCUGGCUGUGGAAGAAAAUUAUUUUGGGGAACAGGUCCAGUAGGAACUUGAGGAACCGUUUGAAAAGCUGCUGCGCCAGUAGAUCCAGCCGGCAGGUUGUAACCUGCAUAAAAGUUGGCAUUCGGCUGUGAAGACUGACCUCUGAACGGAGCAUGAAAAGCAGCCUGUGAAGAACUCAUUUGAGAUGGAAAACCUGCAGCUUGACUACUGUGAGUUGGACCCAUCUGCGAUGUUUGACUAGUUUGAGAUGGAAAUGUCAAGGCUGGAGACUGAUUCGUUUGAGCCAGAAAAUCGGUCUGAGAAACAGAUUGGCCUUGUUGAUGCGGAUAGCUUGUCUGUAUAGGAGGUUGGCUCAGUUGACCAGGAAAAUCUGCCAAUGAUGCAAGCUCACUAUUUUGAGCGUGGAAACCUGUCUGUGUUGCAGUUUGAUUCUGCAGGGACAGCUGACCCAACUGUGAUUCGGGUUGAUUAGUCUGAGGUGGAAACCCUGUCUGAGACACUUGUUGGUUAGUUGGAACAGGAUAAUCGGCUUGUGGAUUGACAUGAGGUGAAGCUCCAGAGGGUAGAUGACUUGUCUGCAAAGGAGACUGGCCAGGUUGACCAGAUAAAGCUGUCAAUGACGUAAGCUCGCUAUUUUGAGCAUGGAAACCUGUCUGUAGUGCAGUUUGGCUCUGUAUGGACAGCGGACCUGGAUGU